UCAUUGAGGGAGGAGUAAUAAAAUUGAUGCUACAACUUGAUAGUCUGUAGCAUAAGCUACAAAAUCAUUCAGAUACUUUUGCUUUCUGGUUGGAAAAUAUAACGGAAUAUUGGAGGUACGGCGGUCUUGGAAGCAGCGGGCCAGAAUUGCGCCGCGGAAUCGGUGAAUCCGCGAGGUUUUCAUGACAUCAGCUUGACGCAUCCGGCAGUGACAUAGCCCAAUGACAUCACCAGACGGGCCGCUGCCACAUUGCCCGAGAAAUCUCACUAUUUCAUACACCCCUGCCUCGGGCGCUGGGCGACCAGGGUCCACGUUUGGCAACCUUUACCAGUUGCUUUCCGAGGAUUUUGGAGUCCUGGCGGAUGUAACAUGGUCAGGGGAUUUUGGCGAGCUAACCGUGGGAAAUGACGCCAAGUUAGCAGGCCUAGAGACCCACGAUGGGCUCCCUGAAAUCUCCUGAAUUCAGUCGUCUCGCCACCUUUGCCAGCGCCUCCUCGCGGACUCCCGACUUCGCGUCUCUACCCCUAGUCAAGUUCACGAGUAUCCCCCGGUCGAAAGUUCGGUCCUACGGUACGUCCCCGACCCCUCUUUCGCCCCAGCGGUCUUUCACCCCCUACCCGAGUCUUUGGCUCCUCAAGUCGCUCCGUCCCGCGUCUCAUCCCGGCGAUUGAGCUCUUGAGUACCCCUCCCCUCGCCGUAAGUCCCGUCCACGGUUCGUCCCCGACGGCUCUUCCUGCCUGGGAUAACUCCCCCCACCCCGUGUUGUAGUUGUUUGUGUUUACUGUGUGUUAUUGUAAGAUCGUCUCUCGAUAGUUUAGCCUGUGUGGCAUUUGUCUUUUGUUAGUACAUCAAUACAUCAAGCGGCCACCCUCCUAGAUCGUGUGUUACCUUGUUCCCCUAGGAUACCACUUUCAAAGGUAGGUGACCAUUUACAUAGAGUGAUAGGGCUCUUACACCCCCCCCUAGACCAUCCCCCUUUUCUAGGAUUCCCUGUCUGGUGGACCGCCCCCAUCUGCGACCACCCCCAACGUGUUCAGUUGCUUGGCGUGAGAGCUGAGCACGUUAUAGAAAAAAAUGUGUCCACCUCCUGAAUUGUUUCCGCCCAUCCAUCAGUGUGCGGCGUGUGAUGACCCUGAUGCAGGUCGAUAGGGGGGACGUAGCUGGAGCGUCGUGAUAUCAGCCGACGGGACGUCUCUAAAUAGAGAUAUCUCGAGCUGACGUCACAAGGCUUCAGGGGGGCUGUUGCGUCGGACAGUGGUCGCCCGUGGUCUCUCUAUGGAGAGAGAUCUCGUGCAGACCACCUACGCAACACAACAGUGGGUGCUCUUGGGGGGCAGUCGUUGACCCUCCCAAAAAUGAAAAGGGUAGUCAAUGAAGAAAGAACGAGUCCGUCCUUGACUGAUUUUCGAAUAUAUUUUUCUGAGUUGACAAAUCCAAUCAGCUGAAAAGAGCUCGACAAGGCUGAAGGAUAGCUAAAAAGGGGAAAGAGACUCCAAAAAUAUGAGCGGUGUUUUGGAACAACCGGAGUCGUCCGUCUACCGGCUCGUCGAUGACGCGCAAGUGCAGGCUUGAGCCCUCAGCACAAGCACCAGACGACCGUUUUGCGAAGACUGGCUUUCCUCGAGCGUCGGAGCAAGUGGCCCAGCUCCCCACGCUCGGGUCGGCCGGCGGCGCGCAUGCGCAUUUCUCAGCGGACAUUAGCGUUUUUCCUAAAGUCGGUGCUCCUCCUGACGUUGCCAAUUUCCCCCUCUAAUGGUGAAUUGUCUGGGAAAAUUGGGCGUCUCCUCACAGGCGGUGAAUUCACAACUGAUGGUCACACUAGUGUAAGGAUUGCCGGGGGCGGGGGGGGGGGGGAUAGAGAAACGAACCAACCACGACGUCCGAUUCA
rnacentral:lncRNA from 1 species